rnacentral:rRNA from 1 species
UACGGGGGGAGCAAGCGUUGUUCGGAUUUACUGGGCGUAAAGAGCGUGUAGGCGGCCACUUAAGUCCUGCGUGAAAUCUUGCGGCUCAACCGCAAGCGGUCGUGGGAAACUGGGUGGCUAGAGUGCGGGAGAGGAGAGUGGAAUUCCUGGUGUAGCGGUGGAAUGCGCAGAUAUCAGGAAGAACACCCGUGGCGAAGGCGGCUCUCUGGAACGCAACUGACGCUGAGGAGCGAAAGCGUGGGGAGCGAACAGG